rnacentral:rRNA from 1 species
AGCGAAUGCUGGCGGCAGGCCUAACACAUGCAAGUCGAACGGAUCCUUCGGGAUUAGUGGCGGACGGGUGAGUAACACAUGGGAACGUGCCCUUUGGUUCGGAACAACUCAGGGAAACUUGAGCUAAUACCGGAUGUGCCCUUCGGGGGAAAGAUUUAUCGCCAUUGGAGCGGCCCGCGUCUGAUUAGCUAGUUGGUGAGGUAACGGCCCACCAAGGCGACGAUCAGUAGCUGGUCUGAGAGGAUGAUCAGCCACACUGGGACUGAGACACGGCCCAGACUCCUACGGGAGGCAGCAGUGGGGAAUCUUGCGCAAUGGGCGAAAGCCUGACGCAGCCAUGCCGCGUGAAUGAUGAAGGUCUUAGGAUUGUAAAAUUCUUUCAGCGGGGACGAUAAUGACGGUACCCGCAGAAGAAGCUCCGGCUAACUUCGUG